rnacentral:rRNA from 1 species
UACGUAGGGCGCAAGCGUUAUCCGGAAUUAUUGGGCGUAAAGAGCUCGUAGGCGGUUUGUCGCGUCUGCCGGUGAAAGUCCGGGCUCAACUCCGGAUCUGCGGUGGGUACGGGCAGACUAGAGUGAUGUAGGGGAGACUGGAAUUCCUGGUGUAGCGGUGAAAUGCGCAGAUAUCAGGAGGAACACCGAUGGCGAAGGCAGGUCUCUGGGCAUUAACUGACGCUGGAGGAGCGAAAGCAUGGGGAGCGAACAGG